CACCAAAAAAUGGAGAAGAGGCGGAGCAUGCGCUUUAAGCUUGCACGCUGUAUACAGACAGACAGUAUAUUUAGC